CCGCUAGCGGACAUUCCCAUCGCUUAGUGUCUUUCAGUCAUCGCCCCUAGAGACGCCCUUUCCAGGGGCGGCCUCAAAGCCUCUCCCAAAGGAGGGAAAGUGGGUGGUGGGGGAAGGGUGGGGAGUGAUGUAGGGUUUUUCAUUGUCAAGAAAACCCCUUACACUCUCCAGGCUUCCCCCACUCGCAUCUCAGGAUAAUGAAACGCCUCUUGGCUGGGCUUAAGUUAGUAGCAGACGUUGUGUUAAACGAAUGAGGCAUUAGUUCUUCUUUCAAAUGGUAAAUUCUCCUCGUGAGGUAAUGCACAUCCGCGCGCUACCCAGAAUUCCCCAGUUCCCGCGUGGCGUGUUUCCGGUCUGCGUGCUGCGGGGGAGCAGCAGGGCGAGGCUCCAACGUUCGGGAACCACUUCAGCGUGCCCCGCCCCUGCAGGUCCUAGCCCGUUUUCUCCCCUCAAAUCAAUAGUUUCCUUGUAUUUUAUGAUUGUAAGAAGAAAACUGCUUUCAAAAAGUGCCUGCUCCCUGCAAAACUGAUAGAACUUUAGACAAUACCAGCAAUCAGCAAGAUUUCAGAACAAGGAUAAAAAUGAUUUCUGUGGGAAGAUCUCAGUAUACCCCACAAAUAGGUGCCUUUGGAACAUCCAUGUGUCAACAUCAAGUUUGCUGCUGUAAAUGUUUGUCCGAAACCCAGGAAAGAGGUAGGGCAGGAGAGAGAAGAAUCAAGGCUUUGAGAAGUUAAGGUAACUUGCCAAAGGUGACCAGUAAGUGACCAGUUUAGGAUUGAACUCAGGUCACCCAUCUCCAGGUUAAAAACCAUGCAGCAUGUGGGUGUAUCAUUUAUCUAAGUUCAUCACAAUGUACAGUUUAAAUGGAUACAAUUUAUAUAAAUUAUACCCAUAAAGUUAAUUUUAAAAAAUAAUGCAGAGUGAAUGUAAUGUUUUUAUGAUAAAGAAACAACAUUAUGGGGGCGCCUAGGUGUCUCAGUUCAUUAAACAUCUGUAUUUGGCUCAGGUCAUGAUCUCACGGUUCAUGAGUUCCAGCCCCACAUGGGGCUCUCUGCUGACAGCUCAGAGCCAGGAGCCUGCUUUGGAUUCUGUGUCUCCCUUGCUCUCUGCCCCUCCCCCCUCUCCCCCCCCCAAAUAAACAUUAAAAAAAAAAAAGAAACAACAUGAUGAUUUCAUACAUGACAGUUUCAGAGGAAAAAGAGAUGGAGGUAAUAUAUAUAUAUAUUUAUAAAUAUAUAUAUAAUUUAUAAAUAUAUAUAUAUUUAAGAUAUACACUGAAAGAUUGAUGAUACUAUAGUCAAGGAUUGUUCAUUUAGUUGACCUUCCUAAACUUAAGAAACAGAUUUAUAGAAAUAUCAGCCAGGAUGCUAUCGUGGGUAAGGGGCAUGCAAGUCUGUUGUGGAAAUGAAUCAAGCAAAUUUUUCAACAAAAUUAAAAAAGACAUCUGAAGUAUGUGAUACCAAGUUUGUCUAACAAAAAUAUGUUCAAGUACAGUACAUUAAAAAGUUAGCUGUCUCUCAAAAUAAAUUAAUAAACUUUAAAAAAAAAUGUGGGGUUCCUGAGAGGCUCAGUUGGUUAGGGGUCAGACUCUUGAUUUUGGCUCAGGUCAUGAUCUCAAGGUUUGUGAGUUAGAGCCCUGAGUUAGGCUCUGUGCUAGCAGUGCAGAGCCUGCUUGGGAUUCUCUCUCUCCCUCUCUCUCUGCCCCUCCCCUACUCAUGCUGUCUCUGUUUCUCUCAAAAUAAACAAAUAAACCUAAAAAAAAAAGUUAGAUAUUUUUGCUGGUGGUAUGCAUUAAAGUCACAUUUUCUUUGUAUAAUAAUGUUUUAUACUAAGCAUUGUGAUUAUAAGCUGUGCAGCAGAAUUUAUACAUUUUUAUUUUCAGUGAAAACUUACUUGAAAAGUUUGUCACAACAAUCAAGGCACAAAACUGCUUUUGUGUUUAAAGACUGUAUUGGGGUGUUUCAAGAGAAUAUAUUGACUCCUUUUUCAUUGUAUGAUGUUCCAUUUUGAAGUUUCACCAAUUUCAGAAACAUGUUGAAUUUAAGGCUUUAAUUAAAAUUUACAAAUCAAAUAUUUUGUGAAUUGGGUAUUCUGAACAAUUAUAGUUGCCCAUACAUAUGUAGAAACAGGGCACAAAAUAGCUCAGUUCCUUCCAAACUUCCUAGGAUGCUUAAACUGCUAGUGACUAUCCCCACCCAAUACAGAUAUUUAACAGCCCCAAUAAUGGCAAACUCCACAAGGCCUCAGAACAAGAUGUGACCAGUGAAAUCCCACUGUUAGGAAUUCUGCACAACCUUGAGUUUUCCAAGAGAAUAUUCUCUUCAUUGGCCAUCAUGAAAACAGUGACCUUGAGUGAAAAAGAAAAGGAUAGUGAGAGAAAGCAUGAGUCUUAAGGCAAUUUUAUCAGGAUGCAUAUUUAGCACCCUUUGUGAAAUGCAGGAGGAAACUGACCCAA